rnacentral:rRNA from 1 species
CCUACGGGGUGCAGCAGUGGGGAAUAUUGCACAAUGGGCCCAAGCCUGAUGCAGCCAUGCCGCGUGUAUGAAGAAGGCCUUCGGGUUGUAAAGUACUUUCAGCGAGGAGGAAGGCAUCAAGGUUAAUAACCUUGGUGAUUGACGUUACUCGCAGAAGAAGCACCGGCUAACUCCGUGCCAGCAGCCGCGGUAAUACGGAGGGUGUAAGCGUUAAUCGGAAUUACUGGGCGUAAAGCGCACGCAGGCGGUCUGUCAAGUCGGAUGUGAAAUCCCCGGGCUCAACCUGGGAACUGCAUUCGAAACUGGCAGGCUAGAGUCUUGUAGAGGGGGGUAGAAUUCCAGGUGUAGCGGUGAAAUGCGUAGAGAUCUGGAGGAAUACCGGUGGCGAAGGCGGCCCCCUGGACAAAGGCUGGCGCUCAGGUGCGAAAGCGUGGGGAGCAAACAGGAUUAGAUACCCGUGUAGUC